UACGUAGGGGGCGAGCGUUGUCCGGAAUUAUUGGGCGUAAAGAGCUCGUAGGCGGUCUGUCGCGUCGGCUGUGAAAACCCGAGGCUCAACCUCGGGCCUGCAGUCGAUACGGGCAGACUAGAGUGCUGUAGGGGAGACUGGAAUUCCUGGUGUAGCGGUGAAAUGCGCAGAUAUCAGGAGGAACACCGGUGGCGAAGGCGGGUCUCUGGGCAGUAACUGACGCUGAGGAGCGAAAGCGUGGGGAGCAAACAGG
rnacentral:rRNA from 1 species